GACGAACGCUGGCGGCGUGCUUAACACAUGCAAGUCGAGCGGUAAGGCUCCUUCGGGAGUACACGAGCGGCGAACGGGUGAGUAACACGUGAGUAACCUGCCCCAAUCAUCGGGAUAACCAUUGGAAACGAUGGCUAAUACCGAAUACGACCACCGAAGGCAUCUUCUGGUGGUGGAAAGCUCCGGCGGAUUGGGAUGGACUCGCGGCCUAUCAGCUUGUUGGUGAGGUAAUGGCUCACCAAGGCAACGACGGGUAGCCGGCCUGAGAGGGUGACCGGCCACACUGGGACUGAGACACGGCCCAGACUCCUACGGGAGGCAGCAGUGGGGAAUAUUGGACAAUGGGCGCAAGCCUGAUCCAGCAACGCCGCGUGAGGGAUGACGGCCUUCGGUUGUAACUGCUUUAAGUAGGGAAGAAGAAUCUGACUGUACUUCUUGUAAUAAGCCCGGCUAACUACGUG
rnacentral:rRNA from 1 species